UAUCAAAAGGGGAGCUGUAAAAGGCUGAGAGGUGCAGUCGCACGACCCAUAACCUGAUUUGGAUAAUGCCAACGUAGGGAAUUUU
rnacentral:ncRNA from 1 species